rnacentral:misc_RNA from 1 species
UCCGGUUUGUCACCGGCAGUCACCUUAGAGUGCCCAACUGAAUGCUGGCAACUAAGAUCAAGGGUUGCGCUCGUUGCGGGACUUAACCCAACAUCUCACGACACGAGCUGACGACAACCGUGCACCACCUGUCACUUCGUCCCCCGAAGGGGAACCUUCUAUCUCUAGAAGUAGCGAAGGAUGUCAAGACCUGGUAAGGUUCUUCGCGUUGCUUCGAAUUAAACCACAUGCUCCACCGCUUGUGCGGGCCCCCGUCAAUUCCUUUGAGUUUCAGUCUUGCGACCGUACUCCCCAGGCGGAGUGCUUAAUGCGUUUGCUGCAGCACUAAAGGGCGGAAGGUGGGGAUGACGUCUCUAGGAGGGUG